GAUCGGCGGGCGGGUGCGGGGAGCUUUUAUGUGGCGCGGUGGAGUGGUGGCGAUGGCGACGGCUACGGGCUACGUGUGUAGGAAUGUGUAUCUGCGCUACAUAGCAGAUAAAGUUCUUUUACUGUUUUAUAAUUUUGUUUCUGUUUUUUUAUUUUUGUUUAGUGCGCUGGCGCUGCUAGCUGCUUACUGUGUGUGCUGCUGCUGCUGGCUUUAGUGUUCGAUGGUUUUGGCUUCGUUAUUCGGCAAGCGACGACGACGACGACGACGACUCUGGGACCUAAAUGCUUCUGGAUCAAGGCACGAGGUGGAGUACGAAACACUUUGCUGGUUGAUCGUUUUACUCUGCCUGUUUUGUGCUGUGUGCUGUGUAAGCAACGACCAACCAACCAACGAACGAACGAACGCUUGCUCCCUAUCAUAAAUUCUUCAUUCUAUCAUUUAAUCGUGAACUUUUUAACUCAAAGGUUGCCCCGACUGAUCGACCGACGAAGACGACUGUGCAACGCAACAUACACUUAUUUACACUCGUUUCUGUUUCUGGCGUCCGUCGCGUCGCGUAGCGUCACGUUGCUUUGUGCUUGUCCUCCGUCUGUCAAUUCGUUGGUCGCGUCCCGUCGUCGCGUCGGUCGAUUUAUAAAAUUUAAUUCAUUUUUGUGUGUUGGUUCUUCUUUUUUUUUAAUUCUGUACGUUGUUCGAUUUUGUAUCUAUCUUCGAAUUCUUUUUGAUAACGGAACAAUCGGGCUGGCAAAGGCUGGGCGAGCCGAGUAGAGCAGUGCGGUGCGGGAUACCUACUUCUAUUUGAUAGUUGAUACAUUUUUUUUCUUUACCGAUUGAUGGGUGGCGGACGAACGACAUCGACAUCGACGUCGAUAUCGAAAUCGACAACGCAACGUCGAAAUGGACAUCACAUUGUGUGAUGUGAUGUGUGUUGUGUCAUUGAAACGCACAAAGAGGGCAUCAAAAAUCAAACUGAAAAACAUAAAAAAAAACGGACUUUGAAACGGAAACCGUUUGACUCUCUCUCUAUUUCGUGCUAAAAAGGAAGUGAAGAUUAGUAUAGCGUACCGUACCGUCCGAAUCGAAUCGACCGUCGGUCGCGUCGUCGUUUGUCGAAAAUUAAAAAAACAAAAAAAGUGCUGAUCGUGCUCUGCUUUUGCUUCUGCUAAAGCUGAAGCUGAUUGUGGGCAGUAAGUGAGUGGUUAUCAUUUCGCGGCACGGAUCGGCGGCCGUGGUGGCGGGCGGACAAUGUGUGUUGGAAGUGUUUUUUGUAGGUGAUGACUUUUUGCGGUCAACAAUUUGACGAUUAUGUGUGUUGUUAAUUUUUUUUUGUUCUUCUUUUUCUUUUUGUUUUCGCGAUUUGUGUUUCUUUGAGUAAAUACUUGACAUCGAUCAAACGGAUGUACUAAAGUCAUUUCCUCUUAAUCGCAAUCGUAGUAGGUACGGCAACAAGACGAAAAACAUAACAGAAAAAUUCCCAGCUCAGGAAAUGAGUGUGUUUUUUUCAGGAGAAAAAUACUCAACUUUAACUAUACUAACGAAACCGGUUUUCGAUUUGGUUUGACUGUUUUUUAUAAAGUGAGAUCAUUUUGAAAGCUGAUUUUGUCAAUGAAUUCAACAUUAAUCGACGAGAUCACCGAGCAACUUAUUUGCCAUAAAAAAGAGUAGACGUUUUACUACACUCUACAAACUACACGUCGUCGUCGAAUUUGAAGUCGCCCAUCCGGCACCAUUGCCUAUUAAACCAGCGAACGCCAACGCAUCCGUUUGAAGCAUUCCCACAUUUGACACAUUCCAAUGACAGUAGUUGUUGUUAUUUCUGCUGUAAGCUGAAAGCUGUCUGUGUUUUUCUUUUUUGAUUCAUUGCACAAGUUAUUUUGUUGUUUGUUUGUUUUUCUUCUUUCUCUUCCUCUGUAUAUAGGGCAACAAACACAUCAAGCAAACAUAGCGCAAAUAUACACAAAAUGCCAACAUUGUAGUCAGCCUUAGCCAGAGUCAGAGCCAGCCACAUUAUUGUCGUUGUCGUUCGUGUGCAGAGAGACGAUCAGUCAAAGGAGGAGGAGGAGAAGAGGUCCAAUAUAUAGAUGUCACUCGGGUCGGGCCAUAAGCGGAUACACAUAAACACUGGCCUACUUUUUAUGAACAACACUGUCACCGUAUCGUGGUUGUUUUUUUGUUUGUUUGUGGUGUACGUGUAAAAUAAUACAACAACAACAGAAAACUACGAUGAGAGUACAAAUGGAGGGAGGGGUGGGGGUACUAACUAACUACAACAUAAUAUUUCAACACACAACAAACGGAAGUUGAAAUUAUGUUCUUCCGGUUGUUGUUGGCUUCGAAUUUAUUAAUAAAACUGUUUUUGUUUAUUGUUUUCUCUUUUAGUUAUUCUCUUUUCUGUGUGUGUAGGUUUAAUGUGGAUGAAAUGAAUAAAUUAAGUUUUUUUUUAUA